CUACGGGAUGCUGCAGUGGGGAAUAUUGCACAAUGGACGAAAGUCUGAUGCAGCAACGCCGCGUGGAGGAUGACACAUUUCGGUGCGUAAACUCCUUUUAUAUAGGAAGAUAAUGACGGUACUAUAUGAAUAAGCACCGGCUAACUCAGUGCCAGCAGCCGCGGUAAUACGGAGGGUGCAAGCGUUACUCGGAAUCACUGGGCGUAAAGGGCGUGUAGGCGGAUAGAUAAGUCAGGAGUGAAAUCCUAUGGCUCAACCAUAGAACUGCUCUUGAAACUGUCAAUCUAGAGUGUGGGAGAGGUAGAUGGAAUUUCUGGUGUAGGGGUAAGAUCCGUAGAGAUCAGAAGGAAUACCGAUUGCGAAGGCGAUCUACUGGAACAUAACUGACGCUGAGACGCGAAAGCGUGGGGAGCAAACAGGAUUAGAUACCCGUGUAGUC
rnacentral:rRNA from 1 species